CCGUUGAAGGAAUCAGAGAAAGAACUGGAAGAGCUUGAAGGGGCUCGAGACCCCAUAGGUACAACAAUGCCAAGCAACCAGAUCUUCCAGGGACUAAGCCACUACCUAAAGACUAAACAUGGACUGACCCUGGACUCUGACCUCAUAGGUAGCAAUAAAUAUCCUAGUAAGAGCACCAGUGGAAGGGGAAGCCCUAGGUCCUGCUAAGACUGAAUCCCCAGUGAACUAGAUUGUUGGGGGGAGGGCGGCAAGGGGGGGAGGAUGGGGAGGGGAAUGCCCAUAAAGAAGGGGAGGGGGGAGGGGAGAGGGGGAUGUUUGCCCAGAAACCGGGAAAGGGAAUAACACUCGAAAUGUAUAUAAGAAAUACUCAAGUUAAAAAAAAAAAAAAAAAAA
rnacentral:lncRNA from 1 species